UACGGAGGGAGCUAGCGUUGUUCGGAAUUACUGGGCGUAAAGCGCGCGUAGGCGGCUUUGUAAGUUAGAGGUGAAAGCCCGGGGCUCAACCCCGGAACUGCCUUUAAGACUGCAUCGCUUGAAUCCGGGAGAGGUGAGUGGAAUUCCGAGUGUAGAGGUGAAAUGCGUAGAUAUCGGGAGGAACACCAGUGGCGAAGGCGACUUCCUGGCCUGUUCUUGACGCUGAGGCGCGAAAGCUAGGGGAGCAAACGGG
rnacentral:rRNA from 1 species